rnacentral:rRNA from 1 species
AAUUGGAGGGCAAGUCUGGUGCCAGCAGCCGCGGUAAUUCCAGCUCCAAUAGCGUAUAUUAAAGUUGUUGCAGUUAAAAAGCUCGUAGUUGAAUUUCGGGAUCAAUAUUUCGGUCAUGCCGUUGGUAUGCACUGUUAUCAUCGAUUUCUCACCUUCUAAAGAACCGUAAUGCCAUUAAUUUGGUGUUACGGGGAAUUAGGACUGUUACCUUGAAAAAAUUAGAGUGUUUAAAGCAGGCUCACGCUUGAAUACAUUAGCAUGGAAUAAUGAAAUAGGACAUCCGAUUCUAUUUUGUUGGUUUCUAGGAUCGAUGUAAUGAUUAAUAGGGAUAGUUGGGGGCAUUAGUAUUCAAUUGUCAGAGGUGAAAUUCUUGGAUUUAUUGAAGACUAACUACUGCGAAAGCAUUUGCCAAGGAUGUUUUCAUUAAUCAAGAACGAAAGUUAGGGGAUCGAAGACGAUCAGAUACCGUCGUAGUCUUAACCAUAAACUAUGCCGACUAGGGAUCGGAUGAUGUUAAUUUUUUAAUGACUCAUUCGGCGCCUUACGGGAAACCAAAGUGU